rnacentral:rRNA from 1 species
AGUGAACGCUGGCGGUAGGCCUAACACAUGCAAGUCGAACGGCAGCACAGUAAGAGCUUGCUCUUACGGUUGGCGAGUGGCGGACGGGUGAGGAAUACAUCGGAAUCUACUUUUUCGUGGGGGAUAACGUAGGGAAACUUAUGCUAAUACCGCAUACGACCUACGGGUGAAAGCAGGGGAUCUUCGGACCUUGCGCGAUUGAAUUAGCCGAUGUCGGAUUAGCUAGUUGGCGGGGUAAAGGCCCACCAAGGCGACGAUCCGUAGCUGGUCUGAGAGGAUGAUCAGCCACACUGGAACUGAGACACGGUCCAGACUCCUACGGGAGGCAGCAGUGGGGAAUAUUGGACAAUGGGCGCAAGCCUGAUCCAGCCAUACCGCGUGGGUGAAGAAGGCCUUCGGGUUGUAAAGCCCUUUUGUUGGGAAAGAAAAGCAGCAGGUUAAUACCCCGCUGUUCUGACGGUACCCAAAGAAUAAGCACCGGCUAACUUCGUG